rnacentral:lncRNA from 1 species
UCUCUAUGUAUAUAUAGGACUUGGGCUUUCUUUCCUCUCAUUAUUCACACUCACAAGCAAAGAGAAAAAUCUCUCUCUACACCAAAGAGAGGAUUGGAGAAGAAAAGAAAGAAAAAUUGAAGCAAGCUUGGAGAAGAUUAGAGUAGCUUGAAGUUGAAGCUCUCUCUAAUGGUGGAAGCAAGCUUUCCAAUAGUGGAUUUAGCUUGAUGUGAAUGGUGGUCUAAGGUGAGAUCUCAUAAUUUAAGCUAGGAUUUGGUUUAAUCCUUAAUGUUUAGUGUUCCAAUAGCCUCUAAUGUGUUGAUUAGCAUGUUAAAUCCAUUUAAUUUGGGUUAAUUGGAGCAUGUGUAGAGGCUAGGUUUAUAAUGAUAGGUCUUAAGAGCUUUAAUUAUAUGCUCUAAGAAUAGAUUUAGAGGAAUCCUUAGAUGCUAAAUGGAUGACUAUUGCAUGAAUUAAGGGAUCAUAUGAUGAAUUCUUGCAAUAGUGUAUCUUAGGGCUCAAAAAUGGGAUUUUGUAAAAUAGUAGGGUUUGAUCUCAUUUGACCCUCCGUAAACCUAAUUGCUAGGUAAACGAACGCGUUGGCGAAGUCGGUUCGGCGAUUCGUCGAGCCGUUGCAAAGUUAUUAAAGAAACGGAUGUUUAGGCUUCGUUUCCGCCUGGAAGGCCGAGGCGACGUCCUAAAAUCAUGAGAUCGGAUCUGGAGCACCGUGGCACAUAACCGAAGACCUUUAAUUUUCGGAUCGUGGAUCGGAGGCUGUUCGGGUGGUCGCGCAAAAGAUCGGACCAAACCGGGUUACGGGUGCCGCGGGAGGCCGAUUGCAAGUGACGACAAGCAAUCGGAAAGCAUAUUGAGGUGGGUUGUGCUCACCGAAGCGAUUAGGUCGCUUUCCGUGCCAAAGUGUAGUAUGUUUACUAUUGAUGCAUGAUAAAGUAUGCUAUUUGAGAAUGCAUGAUAAAGUAUGCUAUUUAAGAAUGCAUGAUAAAGAUAGAUGCCAAAUGAAUGCAUGAGUUGAUGUUAAUUUACAUGUGCAUAUUAUAGAAAUGCUAAACAGAUGUCAAAUGAAAGUAUGAGAUUUAUACUAACCGAGAAUGCAUGUAGUAAAUGUUAACGAAUGCAUAAAAUGCUAAGUAAUGACUACCAAUGGAUGACAAAAUAUAUGCAUGUUGAACAUAGAUCGAGUGGCAUUCGAAAUGGUAAAGUGGACACUAGAGUUAGUGUGGGACAACAAAGAAUAAAUGUGAUGUAAAGAAUAAUGAUAAUGGCUAAAGAUAAUGUAAAACAAUGUGAUGAUAAUAAUGUAAUGUUGCAUGAUGUGAGUACACGUGCUUAUUAGAAUGAUUAAGAAUCUAAAUAAUCUAUGUGUAUGCAUGAGAUGUAAUGUGAGAACCUAAUGAUAAUGGCUUGAGACAAGGCAAAGCAAUGUGAUGUAAAGAAUAAUGAUAAUGGCUAGAGGCGAUGUAAAGUAAUGUGGCAUAAAGAACAAGCAAAGUGUAAAGAACAAUGAUAAUGGCUAGAGUUAGCAACCAAUGUUACAUGAAGCACACUAGAGUUAGUGUGUGGCAACAAAAGAACAAGUGUGGUAUCAAGAAUGACAAUUACUAGAGUAAUUGACAAGUGGGGUGUAAAGAACAAUGAUUGCUAGAGUUAGCAACUAAUGUGAUGUAAAGAACACUAAAGUUAGUGUAAAGCCAUGAUUCAACUACAAAUCCUUUGAGUUAAGGAUAUGAUCAUACUUGCUAUGAGUUCCGUGCUCGAGGGUGGUCGCUCCCCCUCGGGCGAUGCGCUCCGGAGUUUUGCAUCACGGGUUGGAGUAAAUCCGAAGGACGGUC